rnacentral:rRNA from 1 species
UACGGGGGGGGGUAAGCGUUGUUCGGAAUUACUGGGCGUAAAGGGCUCGUAGGCGGCCAACUAAGUCAGACGUGAAAUCCCCGAGCUCAACUCGGGAACUGCGUCCGAUACUGGCGGGCUUGAAUCCGGGAGAGGGAUGCGGAAUUCCAGGUGUAGCGGUGAAAUGCGUAGAUAUCUGGAGGAACACCGGUGGCGAAGGCGGCAUCCUGGACCGGUAUUGACGCUGAGGCGCGAAAGCUAGGGGAGCAAACGGG